UAGUUACUUCUAUAGAUCUAUUAAAGUCUAGGAUCCAAGUAUUUAAAGGUCCAAGGUUUCAAGAGCUGAAUCUCAUUUGUAUCUUUAAACUUCUUUUUCUACACGAUCUUUGAAAGAAAGAAAGAAAGAAAGAAAGAAAGAAAGGAAGAAAGAAAGGAAGAAAGGAAGGAAGAAAGAAAGAAAGAUGCUAUUUUUUUGACUCUUUCUCUAAGAUAUACCCAGCAAUGGGAAUAGAGAACUUGGGCUGAGCAUCUCUCUGUAGUUGUGAAGAGGAGCAAGAAUGGACAGUCUUGGCUAUGCAUGAUGCAAAUGUGUCUCUGCAUUUUAUACAACAGAUUUCACACAACAAUGGCAAGAACAAUGGAUACAUCAGUUACCUGGGAUUUUGAGAGGAUGAAGUCAGAAGAUUGUGGCAGAGGUGACAGAAAGUAUACUUUAAUCCAAAAGAUGAUGGAUACAACUGAAACUCUUACACAUGGGAAUAAGGUUUUCAAAGGAAGAACAGGCAGAUGGAGAUGCUGGAGCAGAAUGUCAACGUCAGCGCUGCCUUCCCUUGCCUCUACCAUCUCCACCGCACUCUGCCCCAGCAUUUUGAUCAAUGUAGAAGCAAGGCCCCAGGGCCCCAACAAAUGGACUUCACAGGGGCCUGACCACCUCUUAAAAUGA
rnacentral:lncRNA from 1 species